rnacentral:rRNA from 1 species
UACGAAGGGGGCUAGCGUUGCUCGGAAUUACUGGGCGUAAAGCGCACGUAGGCGGCUCUUUAAGUCGGGGGUGAAAUCCUGGAGCUCAACUCCAGAACUGCCUUCGAUACUGUAGAGCUUGAGUUCGGGAGAGGUGAGUGGAACUGCGAGUGUAGAGGUGAAAUUCGUAGAUAUUCGCAAGAACACCAGUGGCGAAGGCGGCUCACUGGCCCGAUACUGACGCUGAGGCGCGAAAGCGUGGGGAGCGAACGGG